rnacentral:rRNA from 1 species
CCCUUAGAUGUCCGGGGCUGCACGCGCGCUACACUGAAGGAAUCAGCGUGCUAAAACCAUUGUCGAAAGGCAUUGGUAAACCCAUUAAAAUCCUACGUGAUUGGGAUCGGGAAUUGCAAUUAUUUCCCUUGAACGAGGAAUUCCCAGUAAGUGUGGGUCAUAAGCUCGCGUUGAUUACGUCCCUGCCCUUUGUACACACCGCUCGUCGCUGCCCGGGACUGAGCCGUUUCGAGAAAAGCGGGGACUGCUGCUGUCGGGGCUUUCGGGCCUUGGCUUCGGUGGAAACCGCUUUAAUCGCAGUGGCUUGAACCGGGCAAAAGUCGUAACA